rnacentral:rRNA from 2 species
GGGGAAUAUUGCACAAUGGGGGAAACCCUGAUGCAGCGACGCCGCGUGGAGGAAGAAGGUCUUCGGAUUGUAAACUCCUGUUGUUGAGGAAGAUAAUGACGGUACUCAACGAGGAAGUGACGGCUAACUACGUGCCAGCAGCCGCGGUAAAACGUAGGUCACAAGCGUUGUCCGGAAUUACUGGGUGUAAAGGGAGCGCAGGCGGGAAGACAAGUUGGAAGUGAAAUCUAUGGGCUCAACCCAUAAACUGCUUUCAAAACUGUUUUUCUUGAGUAGUGCAGAGGUAGGCGGAAUUCCCGGUGUAGCGGUGGAAUGCGUAGAUAUCGGGAGGAACACCAGUGGCGAAGGCGGCCUACUGGGCACCAACUGACGCUGAGGCUCGAAAGUGUGGGUAGCAAACAGGAUUAGAUACCCUGGUAGUCCACACCGUAAACGAUGAUUACUAGGUGUUGGAGGAUUGACCCCUUCAGUGCCGCAGUUAACACAAUAAGUAAUCCACCUGGGGAGUACGACCGCAAGGUUGAAACUCAAAGGAAUUGACGGGGGCCCGCACAAGCAGUGGAGUAUGUGGUUUAAUUCGACGCAACGCGAAGAACCUUACCAAGUCUUGACAUCCUGCGACGAUGCUGGAAACAGUAUUUUCCUUCGGGACGCAGAGACAGGUGGUGCAUGGUUGUCGUCAGCUCGUGUCGUGAGAUGUUGGGUUAAGUCCCGCAACGAGCGCAACCCUUACUGUCAGUUACUACGCAAGAGGACUCUGGCAGGACUGCCGUUGACAAAACGGAGGAAGGUGGGGAUGACGUCAAAUCAUCAUGCCCUUUAUGACUUGGGCUACACACGUACUACAAUGGCGUUAAACAAAGAGAAGCAAGACCGCGAGGUGGAGCAAAACUCAGAAACAACGUCCCAGUUCGGACUGCAGGCUGCAACUCGCCUGCACGAAGUCGGAAUUGCUAGUAAUCGUGGAUCAGCAUGCCACGGUGAAUACGUUCCCG